CCUGGUGGCUGCAGGGAGGAAUAGUGGUCAAGGGGAGCUAGCCGGAAACAGCCAAGGAGCGUGAAGGAUGACUGCCCUAUGGGUUGUAAACGUCUUUUAUAUGGGAAUAAAGUGCAGUAUGUAUACUGCUUUGCAUGUACCUUAUGAAUAAGGAUCGGCUAACUCCGUGCCAGCAGCCGCGGUAAUACGGAGGAUCCGAGCGUUAUCCGGAUUUAUUGGGUUUAAAGGGAGCGUAGGCGGGUUGUUAAGUCAGUUGUGAAAGUUUGCGGCUCAACCGUAAAAUUGCAGUUGAUACUGGCAUCCUUGAGUACAGUAGAGGUAGGCGGAAUUCGUGGUGUAGCGGUGAAAUGCUUAGAUAUCACGAAGAACUCCGAUUGCGAAGGCAGCCUGCUGGACUGUAACUGACGCUGAUGCUCGAAAGUGUGGGUAUCAAACAGGAUUAGAUACCCUGGUAGUC
rnacentral:rRNA from 1 species